rnacentral:snRNA from 1 species
GGAUGUGAGGGUGAUCUGGCUGUGACAUCUGGCUGUCACCCCAUUGAUCCUCAGGGUUGAUUCCGCUGAUCUGGUUGGCUAGGCUGGUGUCCCCUUUCUCCCUCACCACUCCAUGUUUGUCUCUCUGGAAACUGCAAGCUCAGUGGAAGAGGAUGGCCUUUCCUGAAUAGAGACAGACCUGUCUUUGGUCAAGGGUAUAGGAGUAGCUGCGCUCUCCUGCUAGAACCUCCAAACAAGCUCUCAAACAUUCACUGAAACAUAAUCCUGAUUCUGAAAGCAGACAAAAAUGUAAUCUAAAAAAAGAGUCUCCUCUCCCUGGUCAACUGGGAUUGCAA